AGCGUGUUGGGUGGCCAGUCUGAGUCUGACACACACACGCCAACGAGACGAGUCGAGAUGUCUGCCAUGCGCCUCCUGCUGCUGUGCGUCGCCUUCAUUUGCCUCUCAGCUUUGACAAGCGGGGCAGACAUCCCCCCACAGCCCAACUGUAAGACCCUUGUGAAUCUUGACUGCACGCUCA